UUCGCAAUGCCCGAAAGGGUGACGAAGCGACGCCGCGUGGGUGAGGAAGGCCUUCGGGUUGUAAAGCCCUGUCAGGAGUUAAGAAAUGUAAGUGCGCUAAUAUCGCAUUUAUUUGACGAAGGCUCCAAAGGAAGCCACGGCUAACUCUGUGCCAGCAGCCGCGGUAAUACAGAGGUGGCAAGCGUUGUUCGGAAUUAUUGGGCGUAAAGAGCACGUAGGUGGGUUUGUAAGUCAGAUGUGAAAGCCUUCUGUUCAACGGAAGAAUUGCAUCUGAAACUGCGAGUCUUGAGUGUAGGAGGGGAGAAUGGAACUUCUGGUGGAGCGGUGAAAUGCGUAGAUAUCAGAAGGAACGCCGGCGGCGAAAGCGAUUCUCUGGCCUAUUACUGACACUCAGUGUGCGAAAGCUAGGGGAGCAAACGGGAUUAGAUACCCCGGUAGUCCUAGCCGUAAACGAUGGGCACUAAGUAGAGGGGUUUU
rnacentral:rRNA from 2 species